CCUGGAUCCUGGAUGGUUCCUCAGGUUUUUCUGCCUCUAAAAGUCUGAUGCUGCGGACAACGGCCCUUAAUCUGGCUUCAGGAACCUCUUAGGCUGUCAGAGUGAACAAGUACACAAAUGAAUACAUAAGACCGGGAGAAAUUCAAAGAGGAAGUAAACAAGGGGAUACUGUAGAAAGCGAUGCAGUGGGAAGAGAGGCCUUUUCUGAGAUGACACUGAAGUUGAACCUGGAGGAGCCAGUCCUGAGGAGGGCAUCCCAGGCAGAGGAAACAGCCUGAGGACCUUAAGAAAAUGUGAAGCCAAGGAACGGAGAGAGAGGUGAUGGGAGAUUCAAAACUGCCUUCUAGAUCACAGAAGACAACCAAUUUUAUCACAUGAUGAAGAGUGUCUAUCCCAAAUCAAUGACCAACAUUCUACUUUGUGGUACAACUCUAGGGGCUUUCCCUGUAAAGUGGGCAC